rnacentral:rRNA from 1 species
UACGUAGGGCGCAAGCGUUGUCCGGAAUUAUUGGGCGUAAAGAGCUCGUAGGCGGCCUGUUGCGUCUGCUGUGAAAUCCCGGGGUUUAACCCCGGGCGUGCAGUGGAUACGGGCAGGCUAGAGUUCGGUAGGGGAGACUGGAAUUCCUGGUGUAGCGGUGAAAUGCGCAGAUAUCAGGAGGAACACCGGUGGCGAAGGCGGGUCUCUGGGCCGAUACUGACGCUGAGGAGCGAAAGCGUGGGGAGCGAACAGG